GAUGAAGAACGCAGCGAAAUGCGAUAAGUAGUGUGAAUUGCAGACUUUAGUGAAUCAUCGAAUCUUUGAACGCACAUUGCGCCCCCUGGUAUUCCGGGGGGCAUGCCUGUUCGAGCGUCAUUUCACCACUCAAGCCUCGCUUGGUAUUGGGCAACGCGGUCCGCCGCGUGCCUCAAAUCGUCCGGCUGGGUCUUCUGUCCCCUAAGCGUUGUGGAAACUAUUCGCUAAAGGGUGUUCGGGAGGCUACGCCGUAAAACAACCCCAUUUCUAAGGUUGACCUCGGAUCAGGUAGGGAUACCCGCUGAACUUAAGCAUAUCAAUAAGCGGAGGA
rnacentral:misc_RNA from 1 species